AAAGGAAAAGAAGAUAAUCCACAGAGGGCUGGUGUAAUAGAGGAGCAUCCAGAAACAGAGUGACAUGAAAGCAGAUGAUCCGCUGUGACGACCCCUAAAGAGAGCAGCUGGAAGAAGAAAAAGAAGCCGCUUAUCUGUGUUGGUCAACUGUCAUUUGUGGGUUAGUGGCGUCACAGUUGCAGUACCACUCCUGUCCUGCAGGUGGCAGUGCAGUGUAAACAUGAACGCUGAGCGACGGCUAAUGACAGCAGCUAACCUUACAGCAAUUUCCCUUGUUUUGUUUAUUAAAGAAGGAAAAAUGGACAACUCUCCUGCCUCGUAUAUUCACAGGUACACUGUUAUCGCGUUUUAAUCGGGAGGCAGAGCUCUAGCUCCGGUUACAGGUAUGAACUCUCUGGUUGGAUACGGAGUGUCCUCUGACUCCGACAGCGAUGGCGCUGCAGAGGAUGUAAACAGUGGCAAAGCUGGCUCUGGGAAAACGUGUGAAGAGGAAGCGCCUUUUAAAAAGACCCGCAACUUUUUGCUGGAGUCUGGUUCAGCUUCCAGUGAAUCGGAGGCAGAGGACGAGGAUCCAGAGUCCUCACCACCACCCACUUCGGCAGCCCGCCCUUCCAAACUGCCUACUCCUUCGCUGGAUUCCAUCACCUCUAAAAAACUGCCCUCUCCACCGCUAAAUGCGUCAUCUGACAGCAGCGUGUUUGCCAACCCAUUUAAGGCUCAAGCAGACCAGAAGCUCAGCGCCCUGCAGAAGCACGUCCCCCUCACCAUGCAGGCCAAACCCUCCCAGAUAGGAGGUAAAAGGAUAUGCGUGUCCUACAGGAAAGAUGGAAGGUGCAGGUUUGGGAUCAAAUGUAAAUUUGCUCAUGACAGUGACCUCCAGAAGCCAGUCAUCUCCACUGACUGUCAUCCACCUGAGAGUGAAGAGACACCAGAAACUGGAGGCGGUUCAUCUGGCGGAAGGUACAAGAGGGAAACAAAAGAGGAAGAGCCAGAAGGGCAGCAUGUGAAGAAGAAGAGGGUCGGACUGAGUGACAGCUUGAUUCCUCCUAAAAGAGCUAUGAAGCAAUAUACGAUGCAAAGGAACAGAGAGCGAGCCAAUAUGUCCUGACUCACUUCUAGUUACAUUAUGUCUUCCAGACACUUUGAUUCAAUACUACUUAUAUCCCAUGUACAGAGUAGGAGCCUGCCUAAUAAAAUUUAAACACUCAGAUGCAAAGAGUUGGGGUUGGAACCACCAACCACACUGCUAAUGGCAGUGGACUGGACUGCUGCUGCUGCUCCUGUUGAAAAGAGGAAACUGGAGGGUUUUCAGAGGUCAUUCAAUAAAAAACACUUUGGAUAAAUGUUAAGAUGUUUAUUUACAACUUUUAAGUGGACUGUUUGCUCUAACACAAAUCUAAUGUGAGAGAUCAGAGAGAUGCCACUGACACAUAAGGUUUCUACAUAGCUUUGCUUAUCAAAUUACAUUAAACAAAUCUUAUUGACAGAUCAGUGCUUGCUGUUAUUUGAUAGGCUUACAUUUGAGUCGCAGUGUUCAAGGGUACAUUUCGGCUCCUUAAAGUCUUGUAGAGUUAAACUA